AGUGAACGCUGGCGGUAGGCCUAACACAUGCAAGUCGAACGGCAGCACAGUAAGAGCUUGCUCUUACGGGUGGCGAGUGGCGGACGGGUGAGGAAUACAUCGGAAUCUACUUUUUCGUGGGGGAUAACGUAGGGAAACUUACGCUAAUACCGCAUACGACCUACGGGUGAAAGCAGGGGAUCUUCGGACCUUGCGCGAUUGAAUGAGCCGAUGUCGGAUUAGCUAGUUGGCGGGGUAAAGGCCCACCAAGGCGACGAUCCGUAGCUGGUCUGAGAGGAUGAUCAGCCACACUGGAACUGAGACACGGUCCAGACUCCUACGGGAGGCAGCAGUGGGGAAUAUUGGACAAUGGGCGCAAGCCUGAUCCAGCAAUACCGCGUGGGUGAAGAAGGCCUUCGGGUUGUAAAGCCCUUUUGUUGGGAAAGAAAAGAAGCAGGUUAAUCCCCCGCUGUUCUGACGGUACCCAAAGAAUAAGCACCGGCUAACUUCGUG
rnacentral:rRNA from 1 species